UACGUAGGGUCCGAGCGUUGUCCGGAAUUAUUGGGCGUAAAGGGCUCGUAGGCGGUCGUGCAAGUCGCGUGUGAAAGCCCCCGGCUCAACUGGGGAGGGUCACGCGAUACUGCUCGACUCGAAGGCAGGAGAGGGAAGUGGAAUUCCCGGUGUAGUGGUGAAAUGCGUAGAUAUCGGGAGGAACACCAGUGGCGAAGGCGACUUCCUGGCCUGUUCUUGACGCUGAGGCGCGAAAGCUAGGGUAGCAAACGGG
rnacentral:rRNA from 1 species